rnacentral:rRNA from 1 species
UGGGGAAUUUUGGACAAUGGGGGCAACUCUGAACCAGCCAUGCCGCGUGCAGGAAGAAGGCCCUAUGGGUCGUAAACUGCUUUUGAACAAGAGAAAACCCCGGUACGUGUACUGGGUUGAUAGUAUUGUUAGAAUAAGCAUCGGCUAACUUCGUGCCAGCAGCCGCGGUAAGACGAAGGAUGCAAGCGUUAUCCGGAUUCAUUGGGUUUAAAGGGUGCGUAGGCGGACUGAUAAGUCAGUGGUGAAAUCUCUCGGCUUAACCGAGAAACUGCCAUUGAUACUGUUAGUCUAGAGUACAGAUGAUGUGGGCGGAAUAUGACAUGUAGUGGUGAAAUACUUAGAUAUGUCAUAGAACACCGAUUGCGAAGGCAGCUCACAAAACUGUAACUGACGCUGAGGCACGAAAGUGCGGGGAUCAAACAGGAUUAGAUACCCUGGUAGUCCCUGAGCGGGCUGGCAAGGCGCAU